GAUGAACGCUAGCGGCAGGCUUAAUACAUGCAAGUCGAGGGGCAGCAGGACUGUAGCAAUACAGUUGCUGGCGACCGGCAAACGGGUGCGGAACACGUACGCAACCUUCCUUUAAGUGAGGGAUAGCCCAGGGAAACUUGGAUUAAUACCUCGUAAUAUUUAAGAGUGGCAUCACUCUUUAAUUAUAGCUCCGGCGCUUAAAGAUGGGCGUGCGACUGAUUAGGUAGUUGGCGGGGUAACGGCCCACCAAGCCUGCGAUCAGUAACUGGUGUGAGAGCACGACCAGUCACACGGGCACUGAGACACGGGCCCGACUCCUACGGGAGGCAGCAGUAAGGAAUAUUGGUCAAUGGACGCAAGUCUGAACCAGCCAUGCCGCGUGGAGGAUGAAGGUCCUCUGGAUUGUAAACUUCUUUUAUCUGGGAAGAAACCCAUAUUUUCUAGUGUGGUUGACGGUACCAGAUGAAUAAGCACCGGCUAACUCCGUGCCAGCAGCCGCGGUAACAC
rnacentral:rRNA from 1 species